AUUGAACGCUGGCGGCAGGCCUAACACAUGCAAGUCGAGCGGAUGAAGGGAGCUUGCUCCUGGAUUCAGCGGCGGACGGGUGAGUAAUGCCUAGGAAUCUGCCUGGUAGUGGGGGAUAACGUCCGGAAACGGGCGCUAAUACCGCAUACGUCCUGAGGGAGAAAGCGGGGGAUCUUCGGACCUCACGCUAUCAGAUGAGCCUAGGUCGGAUUAGCUAGUUGGUGGGGUAAAGGCCUACCAAGGCGACGAUCCGUAACUGGUCUGAGAGGAUGAUCAGUCACACUGGAACUGAGACACGGUCCAGACUCCUACGGGAGGCAGCAGUGGGGAAUAUUGGACAAUGGGCGAAAGCCUGAUCCAGCCAUGCCGCGUGUGUGAAGAAGGUCUUCGGAUUGUAAAGCACUUUAAGUUGGGAGGAAGGGAAGUAAGUUAAUACCUUGCUGUUUUGACGUGACCAACAGAAUAAGCACCGGCUAACUUCGU
rnacentral:rRNA from 1 species